GCUGAUGUGCCUCAAGUUAUAAAAACUUAUUCCAGGAGGCCAAAAUAAGCAAUUAAGAAACUUAGUAACUGUCAUGAGACAGCUACACAUGUAUUGGGUGGUUUUUUCUGUAGAAAUAGGGGCAGGGCAGUUAAAACAAAGGCAUUCAGAAAAUUAAGAAAAGGGAAUUCUGGGAGAGUUUCUAGCCUCUCGAAUGUCUAGAAAGGUUGUGAUCUUUACAAUUAUAUAACUAAAGUUCAUUAUUGUCUUAGGAUGCGAUUUAUUAUGUCAAUAGUGUGAUUGUUUUGUUUUCAGACUUCUUGUUGUAAUAUCAGUGAAUCUAGUGUGAAACAACAGUAUUUGUUCCCUUAUUUUCUAUUUCAACAGUAAAGUCUAUCAGAAACCUUUUUUAAAAAUUCGAAAUUUUAAUCUUCAUCCCAAAGUUUUUAAUCACCCUAAUCAGACUCAUUUUCAUUUUUUUUCUCAAGAAAACACUUUAUUGCAUUACUUUAAAAUAUGUUUCAGAUGUCCAUAAGACACCAUUGCAUCCGUUAGAACACAACUUGGGAAGGCAGAAUCCCAAGCAAUCCUAUUUAUACACGAAAUAGAAAUUUUUGCUAGAUUGUGAGCUAAUACAUUCCAUGCUCGAGGAAUAUAUAUAAUCUCGAUUUCUUCAAAAGACUUCAUCAAUACAUCCUCGCAAAUGGUCUCUAUUUCCCAAGAUGUUAUCAAAUUCUUUUGCAACAUUUGUAUGACAUGCUUUGCAUCAGUAUGUGAACCUUUGACCAACCCUUUUGUAGUGCUCUUUCCACAGCUUCCCGAAUUGCUAGUGCUUCAGCAGUUAUGGCCUUCCCUACAAAUUGAAUAGGGG